UACGAAGGGGGCUAGCGUUGUUCGGAAUCACUGGGCGUAAAGCGCACGUAGGCGGCUUUGUAAGUUAGAGGUGAAAGCCCGGGGCUCAACUCCGGAACUGCCUUUAAGACUGCAUCGCUAGAAUUGUGGAGAGGUAAGUGGAAUUCCGAGUGUAGAGGUGAAAUUCGUAGAUAUUCGGAAGAACACCAGUGGCGAAGGCGACUUACUGGACACAUAUUGACGCUGAGGUGCGAAAGCGUGGGGAGCAAACAGG
rnacentral:rRNA from 1 species